rnacentral:rRNA from 1 species
AUUGAACGCUGGCGGCAGGCUUAACACAUGCAAGUCGAACGGUAGCAGGAGAAAGCUUGCUUUCUUGCUGACGAGUGGCGGACGGGUGAGUAAUGCUUGGGAAUCUGGCUUAUGGAGGGGGAUAACUACGGGAAACUGUAGCUAAUACCGCGUAAUAUCGAAAGAUUAAAGUGUGGGACCUUCGGGCCACAUGCCAUAAGAUGAGCCCAAGUGGGAUUAGGUAGUUGGUGGGGUAAAGGCCUACCAAGCCUGCGAUCUCUAGCUGGUCUGAGAGGAUGACCAGCCACACUGGAACUGAGACACGGUCCAGACUCCUACGGGAGGCAGCAGUGGGGAAUAUUGCGCAAUGGGGGAAACCCUGACGCAGCCAUGCCGCGUGAAUGAAGAAGGCCUUCGGGUUGUAAAGUUCUUUCGGUAUUGAGGAAGGGAUGUGUGCUAAUAGUACACGUCAUUGACGUUAAAUACAGAAGAAGCACCGGCUAACUCCGUGCCAGCAGCCGCGGUAAUACGGAGGGUGCGAGCGUUAAUCGGAAUAACUGGGCGUAAAGGGCACGCAGGCGGUUAUUUAAGUGAGGUGUGAAAGCCCCGGGCUUAACCUGGGAAUUGCAUUUCAGACUGGGUAACUAGAGUACUUUAGGGAGGGGUAGAAUUCCACGUGUAGCGGUGAAAUGCGUAGAGAUGUGGAGGAAUACCGAAGGCGAAGGCAGCCCCUUGGGGAAUGUACUGACGCUCAUGUGCGAAAGCGUGGGGAGCAAACAGGAUUAUAUACCCUGGUAGUCCAAGGGCGAAUUCCACAGUGGAUAUCAAGCUUAUCGAUACCGUCGACCUCAAAAGGGGGCCCGGUACCCAGUUUUUGUUCCCUUUAGUGAGGGGUUAAUUAUGGUGUGCUUUGGGUUUUUUGUGGUGUUGUGUUACUGUAUUAUUUUGUGGUGCUGUUGUGUGUGCUGAUUUUUGUGUGGUGUUUGGUGGGUCGCUGGUGUGUGUGUGAUGGUUGUGUGUGUGUGUGUUUUGUGUUGUGUUGAUGUGAUGUGUGUUGUGUGUGUGGUGUAUUGCUUGCUGUGCCAGUGUGCUGUGAUUG